ACAAACACAGAACGUUGCCACAACGUAGCCAACCUUUUAGCAACGUUGUAACAACAUGGCUAAAUGGUUGUUGGUUCUACGUUGUGUUGUUAAGGUUGUUACUGCGUUGUCACAAUGUUGUCAUUCAACCAUGGAUCGCUGAAGGUUGUGCUUAGGCUGUCUGGACAACCACUGUACGACGUGUACUCGUCACUGUUCCGAAGCGCAUUUUACAACUGAACAGACCGUUGGGCCGUUAUUCUUCUUCAAGCCAGGAUAACGAUCAGUUACCCCACAUUUACAAGAUGGUUCAUUGGACUUCUUCUCCCAAUUUUAAACCUGUGCCUGCCACACAUCAUUCUCUGGCCCCGGACUGUCUGUCUGGUUUUGACUUGUGUCUAAGUCGCUCUCGUCUGCGCUCCCCUGCCCGCUGUAUUUACCAGUCCGGAGACCACCUCAUCGGCCGGUGACCUGCUGCUGCUUUUCUUUUUGUUUGUCAGCAAACGUUCUCAAAUGCCUUUUUUCCAUGUAUGCAAUG